rnacentral:rRNA from 1 species
GACAGAGGGUGCAAACGUUGCUCGGAAUCACUGGGCGUAAAGCGCGUGUAGGCGGAUGACCAAGUCAAAUGUGAAAGCCCUGGGCUCAACCUAGGAACUGCAUCUGAAACUGGUCGUCUGGAGUGCUGGAGAGGGAAGCGGAAUUCCUGGUGUAGAGGUGAAAUGCGUAGAUAUGUGGAGGAACACCCGUGGCGAAGGCGACUGCCUGGCCCAAUACUGACGCUGAGGUGCGAAAGCGUGGGUAGCGAACAGG